UACGUAGGGGGCGAGCGUUGUCCGGAUUUAUUGGGCGUAAAGAGCGUGUAGGCGGCCAGGUAGGUCUGCUGUGAACACUCGAGGCUCAACCUCGAGACGUCGGCGGAAACCAUCUGGCUAGAGUCCGGAAGAGGAGAGUGGAAUUCCUGGUGUAGCGGUGAAAUGCGCAGAUAUCAGGAAGAACACCCGUGGCGAAGGCGGCUCUCUGGGACGGUACUGACGCUGAGACGCGAAAGCGUGGGGAGCGAACAGG
rnacentral:rRNA from 1 species